UACGUAGGGUGCGAGCGUUAAUCGGAAUUACUGGGCGUAAAGCGUGCGCAGGCGGUUUCGCAAGUCAGAUGUGAAAGCCCCGGGCUCAACCUGGGAAUUGCAUUUGAAACUACGAGGCUAGAGUGUGUCAGAGGGGGGUAGAAUUCCCAGUGUAGCGGUGAAAUGCGCAGAUAUUGGGAGGAACACCAGCGGCGAAGGCGGCACUCUGGGCUGGUACUGACGCUGAGGAGCGAAAGCGUGGGUAGCGAACAGG
rnacentral:rRNA from 1 species